UACGUAGGGACCGAGCGUUGUCCGGAAUCAUUGGGCGUAAAGAGCGUGUAGGCGGCCACUUAAGUCCUGCGUGAAAUCUUGCGGCUCAACCGCAAGCGGUCGUGGGAAACUGGGGGACUUGAGUGCAGAAGAGGAAAGCGGAAUUCCACGUGUAGCGGUGAAAUGCGUAGAGAUGUGGAGGAACACCAGUGGCGAAGGCGGCUUUCUGGUCUGUAACUGACGCUGAGGCGCGAAAGCGUGGGGAGCAAACAGG
rnacentral:rRNA from 1 species